AGAGCAAGUAUAUGUGGCCACUGGCCAGUGUGGUAUCUGAGAGCGAGGAGGGAGAUGAGACAGCACAACUACAAAAGGAACAAUAUCAGCAACCAUCCAUGUCCAUUGGUGUCCCUGAGGAGGUUCCAGAGAAUCAGUCUGAGGACAAGUAUUCAAAACAACAAAGGGACACUUCAACUUGCAGAGUGUCUAAACCUGUAAGUUUGGGGAAUAACGGCUCUGAAAAUAAAACCAAAAUCAGUGAAGCAGAAAGGUCUUCACAACAGCCAAU